GAUGAACGCUGGCGGCGUGCCUAAUACAUGCAAGUCGAGCGAACAGACGAGGAGCUUGCUCCUCUGACGUUAGCGGCGGACGGGUGAGUAACACGUGGAUAACCUACCUAUAAGACUGGGAUAACUUCGGGAAACCGGAGCUAAUACCGGAUAAUAUAUUGAACCGCACGGUUCAAUAGUGAAAGACGGUUUUGCUGUCACUUAUAGAUGGAUCCGCGCCGCAUUAGCUAGUUGGUAAGGUAACGGCUUACCAAGGCAACGAUGCGUAGCCGACCUGAGAGGGUGAUCGGCCACACUGGAACUGAGACACGGUCCAGACUCCUACGGGAGGCAGCAGUAGGGAAUCUUCCGCAAUGGGCGAAAGCCUGACGGAGCAACGCCGCGUGAGUGAUGGGGGUCUUCGGAUCGUAAAACUCUGUUAUUAGGGAAGAACAAAUGUGUAAGUAACUAUGCACGUCUUGACGGUACCUAAUCAGAAAGCCACGGCUAACUACGUG
rnacentral:rRNA from 1 species